ensembl:snRNA U5 U5 spliceosomal RNA
AGCUCGAGUUUCUCUUCAUUGCUCGCAAAAUCUUUAGCCUUUUACUAAAGAUUUCCGUGGAGGAGCUUUACGAGAGUGACCUGUAUUUUGGGGCUCUGCUCUGGCAUGAAGGC